rnacentral:rRNA from 1 species
UGAACGCUGGCGGCAUGCCUUACACAUGCAAGUCGACGGUAACAGGUCUUCGGAUGCUGACGAGUGGCGAACGGGUGAGUAAUACAUCGGAACGUGCCCGAGAGUGGGGGAUAACGAAGCGAAAGCUUUGCUAAUACCGCAUACGAUCUCAGGAUGAAAGCAGGGGACCGCAAGGCCUUGCGCUCACGGAGCGGCCGAUGGCAGAUUAGGUAGUUGGUGGGAUAAAAGCUUACCAAGCCGACGAUCUGUAGCUGGUCUGAGAGGACGACCAGCCACACUGGGACUGAGACACGGCCCAGACUCCUACGGGAGGCAGCAGUGGGGAAUUUUGGACAAUGGGCGCAAGCCUGAUCCAGCCAUGCCGCGUGCAGGAUGAAGGCCUUCGGGUUGUAAACUGCUUUUGUACGGAACGAAAAGACUCUGGUUAAUACCUGGGGUCCAUGACGGUACCGUAAGAAUAAGCACCGGCUAACUACGUGCCAGCAGCCGCGGUAAUACGUAGGGUGCGAGCGUUAAUCGGAAUUACUGGGCGUAAAGCGUGCGCAGGCGGUUAUGUAAGACAGAUGUGAAAUCCCCGGGCUCAACCUGGGAACUGCAUUUGUGACUGCGUAGCUAGAGUACGGCAGAGGGGGAUGGAAUUCCGCGUGUAGCAGUGAAAUGCGUAGAUAUGCGGAGGAACACCGAUGGCGAAGGCAAUCCCCUGGGCCUGUACUGACGCUCAUGCACGAAAGCGUGGGGAGCAAACAGG